rnacentral:rRNA from 1 species
UGGGGAUAUUGCACAAUGGGGAAAGCCCUGAUGCAGCGACGCCGCGUGAGCGAUGAAGUAUUUCGGUAUGUAAAGCUCUAUCAGCAGGGAAGAAGAUGACGGUACCUGACUAAGAAGCCCCGGCUAACUACGUGCCAGCAGCCGCGGUAAUACGUAGGGGCAAGCGUUAUCCGGAUUUACUGGGUGUAAAGGGAGCGUAGACGGCGAUGCAAGCCUGGAGUGAAAGGCGGGGGCUCAACCCCGCAGCGCUUGGCAUGACUGCAUGGCUAGAGUGUCGGAGAGGCAGGCGGAAUUCCUAGUGUAGCGGUGAAAUGCGUAGAUAUUAGGAGGAACACCAGUGGCGAAGGCGGCUUACUGGACUGUAACUGACGUUGAGGCUCGAAAGCGUGGGGAGCAAACAGGAUUAGAUACC